rnacentral:rRNA from 1 species
CACGUAGGGCGCAAGCGUUGUCCGGAAUUAUUGGGCGUAAAGAGCGUGUAGGCGGCCAGGUAGGUCAGCUGUGAAAACUCGAGGCUUAACCUCGAGACGCCGGCUGAAACUCUCUGGCUAGAGUCCGGAAGAGGAGAGCGGAAUUCCUGGUGUAGCGGUGAAAUGCGCAGAUAUCAGGAAGAACACCCGUGGCGAAGGCGGCUCUCUGGGACGGUACUGACGCUGAGACGCGAAAGCGUGGGGAGCGAACAGG